CAGGUUCUUCAGGUUACAGCAUUUUCCGCAGUGGAUGAUCCGCCCGUUUCCUCUGUAACUGAGGUCUUUGUGUCUGUCCCACGUACUGCCGAUUGCAGCAGCAGAUAUACAGUAUUCUGUUGGUGGAGUCACAGGUUCCUGCAGUUACAGCAUUCUCCGCAGUGGAAUAUCCCCCCCGUUUCCUUUGUAACUGAG